rnacentral:rRNA from 1 species
GACGAACGCUGGCGGCGUGCCUAAUACAUGCAAGUAGAACGCUGAAGAGAGGAGCUUGCUCUUCUUGGAUGAGUUGCGAACGGGUGAGUAACGCGUAGGUAACCUGCCUUGUAGCGGGGGAUAACUAUUGGAAACGAUAGCUAAUACCGCAUAACAAUGGAUGACACAUGUCAUUUAUUUGAAAGGGGCAAUUGCUCCACUACAAGAUGGACCUGCGUUGUAUUAGCUAGUAGGUGAGGUAAUGGCUCACCUAGGCGACGAUACAUAGCCGACCUGAGAGGGUGACCGCCCACACUGGAACUGGGAACCGGCCCGGACUCCUACGGGAGGCGGCGGAGGGAAUUCUUCGGCAAGGGGGGCACCCCGAACGGGCCAAGGCGCGUGAGUUAAGGAGGUUUUUGGGAUGGAAAGCUCUGUUGUAAGUCAAGAACGGGUGUGAGAGUGGAAAGUUCACACUGUGACGGUAGCUUACCAGAAAGGGACGGCUAACUACGUG